CUUUGUGGCGGGCCGUGCGGGCAACCUUCGGGUUGGCCGGUUCCUUUGUCCCGGUAGUGCUAACCUGUACAGGCCCGCCUCCCUU
rnacentral:antisense_RNA from 1 species